GACGAACGCUGGCGGCGUGCUUAACACAUGCAAGUCGAACGGUAAGGCCCUUCGGGGUACACGAGUGGCGAACGGGUGAGUAACACGUGGGUGAUCUGCCCUGCACUUCGGGAUAAGCCUGGGAAACUGGGUCUAAUACCGGAUAGGACCACUGCCUGCAUGGGUGGUGGUGGAAAGCUUUUGCGGUGUGGGAGUGGGCCCGCGGCCUAUCAGCUUGUUGGUGGGGUGAUGGCCUACCAAGGCGACGACGGGUAGCCGGCCUGAGAGGGUGACCGGCCACACUGGGACUGAGAUACGGCCCAGACUCCUACGGGAGGCAGCAGUGGGGAAUAUUGCACAUUGGGCGCAAGCCUGAUGCAGCGACGCCGCGUGAGGGAUGACGGCCUUCGGGUUGUAAACCUCUUUCAGCACCGACGAAGCGCAAGUGACGGUAGGUGCAGAAGAAGGACCGGCCAACUACGUGCCAGCCGCCGCGGUAA
rnacentral:rRNA from 1 species